rnacentral:rRNA from 1 species
UACGAAGGGUGCAAGCGUUACUCGGAAUUACUGGGCGUAAAGGGCGCGUAGGCGGGAUGGCAAGUCGGUCGUGAAAUCCCUCGGCUCAACUGAGGAUCGUCGAUCGAUACUGCCGUUCUUGAGGAUUGCAGAGGAGACUGGAAUUCCCGGUGUAGCGGUGAAAUGUGUAGAGAUCGGGAGGAACACCGGUGGCGAAGGCGGGUCUCUGGGCAAUUCCUGACGCUGAGGCGCGAAAGCGUGGGGAGCAAACGGG